rnacentral:rRNA from 1 species
GAUGAACGCUGGCGGCGUGCCUAAUACAUGCAAGUCGAGCGAACAGACGAGGAGCUUGCUCCUCUGACGUUAGCGGCGGACGGGUGAGUAACACGUGGAUAACCUACCUAUAAGACUGGGAUAACUUCGGGAAACCGGAGCUAAUACCGGAUAAUAUAUUGAACCGCAUGGUUCAAUAGUGAAAGACGGUUUUGCUGUCACUUAUAGAUGGAUCCGCGCCGCAUUAGCUAGUUGGUAAGGUAACGGCUUACCAAGGCAACGAUGCGUAGCCGACCUGAGAGGGUGAUCGGCCACACUGGAACUGAGACACGGUCCAGACACCUACGGGAGGCAGCAGUAGGGAAUCUUCCGCAAUGGGCGAAAGCCUGACGGAGCAACGCCGCGUGAGUGAUGAAGGUCUUAGGAUCGUAAAACUCUGUUAUUAGGGAAGAACAAAUGUGUAAGUAACUAUGCACGUCUUGACGGUACCUAAUCAGAAAGCCACGGCUAACUACGUG